rnacentral:lncRNA from 1 species
ACUUUAAAACAUACCUCUGACAACUCCUUCUCUGGGCAAGUCCUAUGAGCCUCUCCUCUCAAGCUCCAGUUAUGCCCCUGACAAAAUCAGUCAGAAUUAUUUGCUAUACAAGAGUCAUUCAUUGAUUUGUCCAUCCUUUCUAUAAGCAUUUCCUGAACAUCUAUUAUGAGCAAGAUACCCCAUCGGAUGCUAGAUAAAAAGAACAGAGAAAUAAAGUCUAUUCUUAAAGGCAGCACAGUCAAGGGAGGCAUGGACAAGUGAAUCAAGUGUGACAGUUACUGUGAUGAGGGCUAUGCUAAAGGAGAAGGGCAAUUAAUAAAUGUAGAAGAAGAAAUGGAAUUAGAAAAUCACUAUUUGGCCAACAUCAUGGUAAUAAUUUCUUGAGUCAAGAAUCAUCAGUGGAUCAUUCUAAUGGGUGGAAGUUUAAGCAAUAACAGGAUAUUUCAUGGUCUCAAAGCCUCUUCCCACAAGAGGUUUAUAAUAAAAAAUAAAAAGUAGAAACUUCAGAUCAAA